AAUUUUUAUAAAAUCUCAUUAUUAUAAUAAUAUUAUAAUAUAGACAAUGCUUUGGUUUAUUUUUUAAAUAUGUUUAUGUCAGUUAAAAACAGAGAAAUGUAUGAAAAACUUUUGCUGUAUAUUACUUUAUGCUCAACGGAUACAUUUACAAUAGGAUGAUUGAGUAUAUAUAGUACACAGUGGACUAUUCUAGAAUACAAAAAGCAAUAUUGCAUUGUACAGAAUAUUCUUCAUUCUCUAGGGAAUCAGUAACCGAAUUGUACUAUGAAAGGACAAUGAUUAGCUGUCAGCCUUUUCACCAUUGUGGUGCUCCUCCAAUUCUGUUAUUGCUAUUCCAUUAUUUUCAACAUGCCCCCUCAAGCUGUGCUGUGAUGAGUGUAUGACAGCAAGCUUGCUUUUAAGAUAUUGAAAUUGAAAUAUGCUGAGAGACUUGUGAACAUCAAGUUCAAUAUGUUUUGUUCUUGAGUGAAAGACUGGGUUUGAAGCAAGCUGCCGUGCCCCUGAGUUGUCACACCAAAUUACUGCUGGUUUUUUGCUUUUUAAUCCAAUCUCGGCUAGAAGUGAUCUUAGCCAAAUUACCUCUGUGCAUGCUUGGGCAAGUGCUCUGUAUUCGGCUUCAGUGCUGGAGCAUGCUACUGACUUCUGUUUCCGUGAACUCCAGCUAACCAGAUUGUUGCCGAGGUAGAUGCAAUACCCUGUCGUGGACUUUCGAUCAUCCAAGGAGCUGGCCCAGUCAGAAUCGCAGAAGCCUUGAACAGCCAUGUUUGAUGAUUUUGCAAAGAACAUGCCUUCACCAAUGGAACCAACAAGAUAACGAAGGAUUUUCUUACAAGCAUACCAAUGGUUUUGUGUUGGUGCCUGUAAAAACUGACUGAGCUUGUUUACUGAGAAGGCAAUAUCUGGCCUGCUAAGUGUGAGAUAUUGGAGUGCCCCGAUAACGCUUCGGUAGAGUGUUGGAUGUUCAAAAAGAGCGCUGUCUUGGAGACUCAGCUUGUUGUUUUGAUUCAUUGGUGUAGGACAGGCCUUGGCAUUGAGCAUGUUUGUUUUCUUGAGAAGAUCUAGGGUGUAUUUGGUUUGGGAUAAGUGGAUACCGUGAUGCCCCCUACCUAUCUCAAAACCAAGGAAGUAAGUGACUGAACCCAGCGAUUUGAGAGCAAAAGUAGACUGCAGCUUGGAGAUGAUGGCAUGGACAUGGGCAGCAUUGUUUCCCAUAAGGAGAAUGUCGUCGACGUAGACCAGUACAAAGAGUAAAGCAUCAUAUUUGUGGAAGAAAAACAAUGAAGUAUCGGCCACUGAGUUGAGAAAGCCGAAAGCAAGUAAGGUGGUUCGAAGCUUGUCGAACCAGGCUCGGGGAGCCUGUUUUAGGCCGUAUAAAGCCUUGUGGAGUUUGCAGACUGCAGUAGGCUGUUUAGGAUCAACAAAACCGACUGGCUGAACCAUGAAGACUUUCUCAUCAAGCAUGUCGUUAAGAAAGGCAUUAUUGAUACCCACUUGUUGGAUAUCCCAAUCAUUCAUUACAGCUAAGGAGAGUAUGAUGCGAAUGGUGGAUGGCUUUACAACCGGGCUAAACGUUUCAAAGAAGUCAAUGCCGGGUUGUUGUUGGAAGCCCUUAGCAACUAGACGGGCCUUGAAGCGAUGAACAGUGCCGUCGGAGUUAUACUUCACACGGAGAACCCAUUUAUUAUCAACUACAUGCAUAUGUGGUUGCCGAGGAACAAUUGUCCAGGUAUUGUUUUUUAAGAGAGCAUGAAGUUCUUUAUCCAUUGCUGCUUUCCAUUUUGGAGAUUGAAGGGCAAGUUCUAUGGUAUCAGGGAUAAGGACUUCACGGGAGGUGAUUUCUGGUGGAGUGUUUGUGGUGGUGAGGAGGAGCUUGGGUUUGAAUAUACCGGCUUUGGAGCGGGUGAUCAUUUGGUGAGUGGGCACGGGUGGGUUUUGUAAGGUAGGUUCGGGAAGGAUAAGUGGAGAAGGUGGAGUGGUGUUGGCAUGUGGUGAAUUUGGUUCAUGGGAAGUGGAAAAAGGGAGAUGAACUUCAAGGGGUAGUGUUGAAUAUGAAGAGAUGGAUUGAGGAGAAUUACCUGGACUGGUGCAUGACUUCGGGUUGACCGUGGAGGCAGGAGAUAGCUGAGAGUCAGCAGCCGAGCAAUGAUCAAUAUCAGAUUCAUGUUGUGAGGAGUCAUUGUGAACAGGAGAGGUGAAGGGAAACCAUUGACUAUAUUGGAGUAUAUUAGAGUGAGUUUCAGGUGUGGUGUUUCUGAAUUGAGAGGUAGUGAAACCAGUUGAAAAUGGGAAGUCUUGUUCAUUGAAGGAGACACUUUGAGCAAUAUAGACACGACCCGAUGGAUGUAGGCACUUAUAUCCUUUAUGGUUUGGGCUAUACCCCAAGAAUACACACUUGGUGGAUCUAAAAUCUAACUUGUGUUGAUUGUAUGCUCGAAGAUGUGGGAGGCAUGCACAUCCACAAACCUUGAGGAAACUAAGGCCGGGUUUCACUUGAAAAAGGACUUCAAUGGGAGAUUGAUGAUUUAAGGUAGGAGUGGACAGAUGAUUAAUGAGGAAGGUUGUUGUGCUAAAAGACUCCCACCAAUACUGAAGAGGAACCGAGGCUUGAACUAAUAAGGUGAGCCCCAUUUCAACUAUAUGUCGAUGCUUUCUCUCGGAUUUGCCAUUUUGAGGGUGUGUGUGUGGACAAGGAUGCCUAAAAUGAACUCCUAUGGCAUUAAGAAAUGGAGCUAAGCUGCGGUAUUCACCCCCCCAAUCUGAGUGGAGUGUUUUGAUUUUUGUGUCAAAUUUUCGUUCAACAAAUUUUUGGAAGGUGAGAAAGAUUUCUUUGACAUCUGACUUGAGUUUCAAGGGAAAUAUCCAUGUGAAGUUGCUAAAUUCAUCUAUAAAGUGUACAUAGUACCUAAAGCCAUCCUUAGAUAGAACGGGUGAGGGACCCCAUACAUCGGAGUGAAUGAUUUCUAGAGGUUUCUUGGCACUUUUUGUAGUUGAAUGAUAGUGUAUGUGUUUGGAUUUUCCAAUAUGACAAGCAUCACAGAAUUUUAAGGAGCUGUUAGAGGGAAAUUUGUCAUUGCCUAAUAGAUGUUUCAUUACAUUCAAGCUUGGGUGACCGAGUUUCAUAUGCCAAAGAUCAAGUUCAUUAAUACUUGUUGAUUGCACAAACAUGGACUGAGCAAAAUGAAUAUGUUCAUUUGCUUGACUCUUACAUUUGGACUCUGAGAUAGGACUCUUUUGGGAAUUUAAAGACUGUGAAAAAGAAAAACAUGGACUCGAUUUUGGGACUGCAGUUCUUGACCGUGGCAUUGGCAAUUGAAGCUGAUAUAAACCAUUGUUAAGCGCACCCCGAGCUAGCUCCCUCCUCAAAGCCAGAUCCUUAAUAAUGCAACAGUUAGAAUAAAACUCAGCAUAAACAGGAUUAUCUUUUGUUAAUUGAGAUAUGGACAGCAAGUUUUUGGUUAUUUGGGGCACACAAAGAACAUUGUUAAGCAGCAAUGAAGAUUUAGAACUAUGCAAUCUUAAGGUACCAAUUUCAGUAAUGGGAAGAGGCUGGCCAUUACCAAUUAGCAGCUGAUCAAUACCUUUGUUUUCAACUUUAUUUUGCAGAUUUUUGCUGUCAGAGAAGAUGUGGUUCGUUGCCCCACUGUCUAUAUACCAAGCAUUGUCUUGGUUCGGAUCUGGUGCAGCAGAGGAGUAGUAUGCAUGUUGAUUUUGUCCAGGAUAUUGCUGGCCCGAGGAUGCAUUAGUGGACUGAGUAUUGUUUGAACUUGAGACAAGAGCUUGAAAAUUAAUGUCAAAGCGAUGAUAACACUUUGAGACCACAUGACCAGCACGGUUGCAAAGCUGACAGAUUGGUCUGUUUCCUCGGCCUCCUCGACUGCGUCCUCGGCCUCUUGGAGAGUAGCCUCGUCCUUGAAAGUUGUUGCUGUGAAUGUUGAAACUUCCAUUUGUGUUGGGAGGCCUACGAGACUGAGUUGCAAAGUUUGCACUGGGCAUGUUUAAAUCGUUUGAAAUAGGACCAUUCAUCUGUUCCAAACGCAUUUCCUGACUCUGCAAAAGAAACUGAACUUCCUACAGAGUAAUUGGGUCAGCACGUGAAGUAAGGGUGAUUACAACUGGGUCAUAGUCAUGACCUAAGCCUCCAAGUAUAUAAAGGAUUAAUUCCUCAUCCGAGAUAAGCUGUCCAGCUGCAGAUAAGUUCUCGGCAAGACCUGUCAUCUUCAUCAUAUAGUCAUGUAUAGAUAGAUUUCCCUUUUUGAGGGACUGAAGCUGAAAUCUGAUUUGUAGUGUUCUAGCUUUGGACUGAGUUGUGAAUAAAAGCUCAAGAGUGUGCCAUACCUCAAAGGAAGUGGUGCAUCUUACCACAUGGCCAAACAUUGUUUCUGAUAUUGAGUUGAGUAGCCAGCUCAUGAUGGCUUGAUCUGUCCUCCUCCAGAGAGCAUAUCCUACAUUUAGCUGUCGAGUUUCUCCUGGAAUGGUUCCUCCAAUCGUGUUGUCUACGAACU